AGUGAACGCUGGCGGUAGGCCUAACACAUGCAAGUCGAACGGCAGCACAGUAAGAGCUUGCUCUUACGGGUGGCGAGUGGCGGACGGGUGAGGAAUACAUCGGAAUCUACUUUUUCGUGGGGGAUAACGUAGGGAAACUUACGCUAAUACCGCAUACGACCUACGGGUGAAAGCAGUGGAUCUUCGGACCUUUCGCGAUUGAUUGAGCCGAUGUCGGAUUAGCUAGUUGGCGGGGUAAAGGCCCACCAAGGCGACGAUCCGUAGCUGGUCUGAGAGGAUGAUCAGCCACACUGGAACUGAGACACGGUCCAGACUCCUACGGGAGGCAGCAGUGGGGAAUAUUGGACAAUGGGCGCAAGCCUGAUCCAGCCAUACCGCGUGGGUGAAGAAGGCCUUCGGGUUGUAAAGCCCUUUUGUUGGGAAAGAAAAGCAGCAGGUUAAUACCCCGCUGUUCUGACGGUACCCAAAGAAUAAGCACCGGCUAACUUCGUG
rnacentral:rRNA from 1 species